rnacentral:rRNA from 1 species
CUCCUGGAAACGGGUGGUAAUGCCGGAUGCUCCGACUCCUCGCAUGGGGUGUCGGGAAAGAUUUCAUCGGUAUGGGAUGGGGUCGCGUCCUAUCAGGUAGUCGGCGGGGUAACGGCCCACCGAGCCUACGACGGGUAGCCGGCCUGAGAGGGCGACCGGCCACAUUGGGACUGAGAUACGGCCCAGACUCCUACGGGAGGCAGCAGUGGGGAAUAUUGCACAAUGGGCGCAAGCCUGAUGCAGCGACGCCGCGUGCGGGAUGACGGCCUUCGGGUUGUAAACCGCUUUUGAUCGGGAGCAAGCCUUCGGGUGAGUGUACCUUUCGAAUAAGCACCGGCUAACUACGUGCCAGCGGCCGCGGUAAUACGUAGGGUGCAAGCGUUAUCCGGAAUUAUUGGGCGUAAAGGGCUCGUAGGCGGUUCGUCGCGUCCGGUGUGAAAGUCCAUCGCUUAACGGUGGAUCUGCGCCGGGUACGGGCGGGCUGGAGUGCGGUAGGGGAGACUGGAAUUCCCGGUGUAACGGUGGAAUGUGUAGAUAUCGGGAAGAACACC